GGGGAUGUAACUCAGUGAUGGAGUGCUUGCCUAGUAUGCAUGAAGCCCUGGGUUCCAUCCCAGUACCA
rnacentral:tRNA from 1 species